rnacentral:lncRNA from 1 species
CCGCAUGUAUCCACCCUGAAGGAAUGAAGAAUGUAUAGCCUUGUUUCAGUUCAAUUCUUUGGCAUCGUUCCACUCUGUCUCCCAGAAAGAUAUCACUUUGCUUUCCUGAGAGAACCCAUUCUUCAUAAAGUUCUAGAUUCUGCAGAGUAGGUGGAAUCAGCCAGAAGAUCUUCCCCCCACGGAAAACGUGAUACCACACUGAAGUGCCUCCAAAAUCAAUAUGGAAAUCAGUGAAGCAUCCUUUCACACUCAUCAAACAGUACCCCGAGCUCAGCUCCUUUUCUCUCGCAUUAGGUAUCGUGCACCAUACGGCUCUAUUCCCUCUGGCAUUGCGAGGGCUCCCCUGCCACUGAGCUCAGCCCAUAAACCACUCCCAAACCCCAGCAGAGGCUUCUGUUUUUUGUUCGGGCCAAUGAGAAAAGUAUAGCUCACUCUUCCUUCCUCCCAGGAGCAGCGCCGGCUGGUUGAAAUCCCUAAGCCUGAAACCGAAUACCACAAACCCAUGAGCCGACUGCGAGUGCCAAAGCAGGGAGAAGGAGCAGGCCCCGCGGCGGGCAGGACGGGAGCGGCUCCGCACCUCCGCCCCGGACAAUGCCGACGGCCCGAGCCACGCUCCCGCACAGGGGCCCCGUAACCGAAAGCCACAAAUUACGCCGCGAGACAAAAGGAACCAUUGUCACCCUGGAGACACGGGGCCAGCGCUCGCGGCCCCUUCUGCCGUCCUCCGCCGCCCCACCCCCGCCCAGGCCCUACCGGCCGCCCCCGGCCCCCACAGCGCCGACCGCGCCCGCA